rnacentral:rRNA from 15 species
CUGAGACACGGCCCAGACUCCUACGGGAGGCAGCAGUGGGGAAUAUUGCACAAUGGGCGCAAGCCUGAUGCAGCGACGCCGCGUGGGGGAUGAAUGCCUUCGGGUUGUAAACCUCUUUCGACAGGGACGAAGUGAAAAUGACGGUACCUGUAUAAGAAGCACCGGCUAACUACGUGCCAGCAGCCGCGGUAAUACGUAGGGUGCGAGCGUUGUCCGGAAUUACUGGGCGUAAAGAGCUCGUAGGUGGUUUGUCACGUCGUCUGUGAAAUUCCGGGGCUUAACUCCGGGCGUGCAGGCGAUACGGGCAAUACUUGAGUGCUGUAGGGGAGACUGGAAUUCCUGGUGUAGCGGUGAAAUGCGCAGAUAUCAGGAGGAACACCAAUGGCGAAGGCAGGUCUCUGGGCAGUUACUGACGCUGAGGAGCGAAAGCAUGGGUAGCGAACAGGAUUAGAUACCCUGGUAGUCCAUGCCGU